rnacentral:rRNA from 1 species
CAGUCGCCGCGGUAAUACGUAGGUGGCAAGCGUUGUCCGGAAUUAUUGGGCGCAAAGGGCGCGCAGGCGGCUUCUUAAGUCUGUCUUAAAAGUGCGGGGCUUAACCCCGUGAUGGGAUGGAAACUGGGAAGCUCAGAGUAUCGGAGAGGAAAGCGGAAUUCCUAGUGUAGCGGUGAAAUGCGUAGAUAUUAGGAGGAACACCAGUGGCGAAAGCGGCUUUCUGGACGAAAACUGACGCUGAGGCGCGAAAGCCAGGGGAGCGAACGGGAUUAGAUACCCCAGUAGUCCCUGUCUCUUAUAC